AACGAGCGCUGGCGGCAUGCCUAACACAUGCAAGUCGAACGAGACCUUCGGGUCUAGGGGCGCACGGGUUCGUAACGCGUGGGAACCGGCCCAUAGGGUCGGCAUAACUCCCCGAAAGGGGUGCUAAUACCGGAUAGUAGCUUCUGACGAAAGAUUUAUCGCCUUUGGUGGGUCCCUCGUUGGAUUAGCUAGUAGGUACGGUAAAAGCUUACCAAGGCGACGAUCCAUAGGUUGUCUGAGAGAAUGAUCAGCCACACUGGGACUGGGACACGGCCCAGACUCCUACGGGAGGCAGCAGUGGGGAAUAUUGCAACAUGGGCGGAAGCAUGAUCCAGCACGGCCGCGAGAGUGAUGAAGGCCUUAAGGUUGUAAAGCUCUUUUAACCGGGCUGAUAAUGACAGUACCGGGAGAAUAAGCCACGGCUAACUACGUG
rnacentral:rRNA from 1 species